rnacentral:rRNA from 1 species
GACAGAGGCCCCGAGCGUUAGGCGGAAUCACUGGGCUUAAAGCGCGUGUAGGCGGAGGGCUAAGUACCUUGUGAAAUCCCCGGGCUCAACCCGGGAACUGCUUGGUAUACUGGUCUUCUUGAGGCAUCUAGGGGCGAGCGGAACAAACGGUGGAGCGGUGAAAUGCGUAGAUAUCGUUUGGAACGCCAACGGUGAAAACAGCUCGCUGGGGAUGUCCUGACGCUGAGACGCGAAAGCCAGGGGAG